rfam:Rattus norvegicus chromosome 14, whole genome shotgun sequence.
GGGGAUUUAGCUCAGAGGUAGAGCGCUUGCCUAGGAAGCGCAAGGCCCUGGGUUCGGUCCCCAGCUCCA